rnacentral:rRNA from 1 species
ACGAUGAAUCUUCUAGCUUGCUAGAAGUGGAUUAGUGGCGCACGGGUGAGUAAUGCAUAGGUUAUGUGCCCUUUAGUCUGGGAUAGCCACUGGAAACGGUGAUUAAUACUGGAUACUCCCUACGGGGGAAAGUUUUUCGCUAAAGGAUCAGCCUAUGUCCUAUCAGCUUGUUGGUGAGGUAAUGGCUCACCAAGGCUAUGACGGGUAUCCGGCCUGAGAGGGUGAUCGGACACACUGGAACUGAGACACGGUCCAGACUCCUACGGGAGGCAGCAGUAGGGAAUAUUGCUCAAUGGGGGAAACCCUGAAGCAGCAACGCCGCGUGGAGGAUGAAGGUUUUAGGAUUGUAAACUCCUUUUGUUAGAGAAGAUUAUGACGGUAUCUAACGAAUAAGCACCGGCUAACUCCGUGCCAGCAGCCGCGGUAAUACGGAGGGUGCAAGCGUUACUCGGAAUCACUGGGCGUAAAGAGUGCGUAGGCGGGGUAAUAAGUCAGAUGUGAAAUCCUGUAGCUUAACUACAGAACUGCAUUUGAAACUGUUACUCUGGAGUGUGGGAGAGGUAGGUGGAAUUCUUGGUGUAGGGGUAAAAUCCGUAGAGAUCAAGAGGAAUACUCAUUGCGAAGGCGACCUGCUGGAACAUUACUGACGCUGAUGCACGAAAGCGUGGGGAGCAAACAGGAUUAGAUACCCUGGUAGUCCACGCCCUAAACGAUGGAUGCUAGUUGUUGCCUUGCUUGUCGGGGCAGUAAUGCAGCUAACGCAUUAAGCAUCCCGCCUGGGGAGUACGGUCGCAAGAUUAAAACUCAAAGGAAUAGACGGGGACCCGCACAAGCGGUGGAGCAUGUGGUUUAAUUCGAAGAUACGCGAAGAACCUUACCUAGGCUUGACAUUGAUAG